rnacentral:lncRNA from 1 species
GAAAAAUCAAAAAAUUCUCAAAAUUGAGAAGGGAAAGAUAAUGCACUACCGCUUAAGCCGAUUAAACCGGGGGCUCCGACAAAGAGUCCUCGUCGAGACACACAUUGUUAUGGCAUUCAGACACGUCAAAGGACCUGCAUUGUCGAGUUCCACAAGUGAGCGGUGAAAAGGAAGAGGAUGAGAGAGGGCCAAAUAUUGGGUCGACUUGAUGGUAACAGUCAGUACUACCCUUGAUUUGUUCCCAAACCUCUAGCUUAUCUACAUCCAAUUCUGCUUCCAAAGGGGGUAGAUCUGCUUUCCUUAACCCCUGACUCACUAGAUCUACCCGAGUCUGAGAUAGACAUGCCCUUUAACUCGACAUGCUUCUUCUUACAUUGUGUUGGGGUUGAACAAUAAUAGUGGCAUGGGUCUCUUCCUGCAAGGGUUUAUCACCUCUAACACGAGAGAUAGAUGAACCCACCAAAGGAUUUUUCUUAGCUAUAUUGUCUUUUUCUUGGUCUCCUAGGUUUUCCCCAAUAAUUUCCCAAUCCUCUUUGACCGAUGUUACUUGCAAGCUGCUUUUUCGCUUUGUGACUUCCACUGGUAGUGGGGAAAGUGGUGAGGGGAGCUGUGGUAGAGAUGACAACAGUGUGUUCGACGGUGGCUGGGUGGUAG